UGGGGAAUAUUGCGCAAUGGGGGGAACCCUNNNGCAGCCAUGCCGCGUGAAUGAAGAAGGCCUUCGGGUUGUAAAGUUCUUUCGGUAUUGAGGAAGGUUGAUGUGUUAAUAGCACAUCAAAUUGACGUUAAAUACAGAAGAAGCACCGGCUAACUCCGUGCCAGCAGCCGCGGUAAUACGGAGGGUGCGAGCGUUAAUCGGAAUAACUGGGCGUAAAGGGCACGCAGGCGGUUAUUUAAGUGAGGUGUGAAAGCCCUGGGCUUAACCUAGGAAUUGCAUUUCAGACUGGGUAACUAGAGUACUUUAGGGAGGGGUAGAAUUCCACGUGUAGCGGUGAAAUGCGUAGAGAUGUGGAGGAAUACCGAAGGCGAAGGCAGCCCCUUGGGAAUGUACUGACGCUCAUGUGCGAAAGCGUGGGGAGCAAACAGGAUUAGAUACCCUGGUAGUCCACGCUGUAAACGCUGUCGAUUUGGGGGUUGGGGUUUAACUCUGGCGCCCGUAGCUAACGUGAUAAAUCGACCGCCUGGGGAGUACGGCCGCAAGGUUA
rnacentral:rRNA from 1 species